UGAUGAGUCGAUAUUUUAUGGAUUUCACUUAGUUUAUUGUGCUAGAAUUAAUCAGGGAAUUGUGCUUAAUUGUCCAGUAUUUUCCCGUUUUUCCUAAAUAUGCGUAAUUUGAUUAGAAAUUCUUAUUUUAAUUAAUUUGAAUAUUUUGAGCUAAUUAUUUGCAUUAUUAAUUGUAGGAAAAAUUUGGAAAUACAAUUUGGGACAUUUGGAAGUUAAAUGAGGUGCAAGCCACCACCCACUUGCAUUUCAUUUUUAUUUGGGCUUGGAGAGCAUCUAGCAAGGCCUUGGGAAAUUAAUAUUUGAGGGCACAUUUGAGAUUAAAGAAAAGUGGGGGUGCUGAUUUAGUAAAACGGAGGGUGCACACGGAACAAGCACACAACACCAGAUUCUUGGCAGCANCGCACAGCAGCUUCAACAACAUGUUUCUUCCAUCAUGAAGCCCACGGUACAGGUCCAGCUUCACGUCUGCAAACGCCAACUUCAUGCACGGUCCAGCUUUGAUUCAUCGAGCAUAUUGCUGCAUGAAAGAUCCACACACGACCCACACAUCUUCUUCUACUUCAACUCACGGCCCAAUGAAAAUAACAGCUUCAACUUUGGAGAGCCCAUGCUGUAGAAGGCUUCACACGUUCAACAUGCAAGACCCUGCUUCACUCACGUCCAACUUUGAAGGGCACAUUGACAU
rnacentral:lncRNA from 1 species